rnacentral:rRNA from 1 species
AUUGAACGCUGGCGGCAGGCCUAACACAUGCAAGUCGAACGGUAACAGGAAGAAGCUUGCUUCUUUGCUGAUGAGUGGCGGACGGGUGAGUAAUGUCUGGGAAACUGCCUGAUGGAGGGGGAUAACUACUGGAAACGGUAGCUAAUACCGCAUAACGUCGCAAGACCAAAAAGGGGGACCUUCGGGCCUCUUGCCAUCGGAUGUGCCCAGAUGGGAUUAGCUAGUAGGUGGGGUAACGGCUCACCUAGGCGACGAUCCCUAGCUGGUCUGAGAGGAUGACCAGCCACACUGGAACUGAGACACGGUCCAGACUCCUACGGGAGGCAGCAGUGGGGAAUAUUGCACAAUGGGCGCAAGCCUGAUGCAGCCAUGCCGCGUGUAUGAAGAAGGCCUUCGGGUUGUAAAGUACUUUCAGCGGGGAGGAAGGGAGUAAAGUUAAUACCUUGGCUCAUUGACGUUACCCGCAGAAGAAGCACCGGCUAACUCCGUG